UACGUAGGUGGCAAGCGUUGUCCGGAUUUACUGGGCGUAAAGAGCGCGCAGGCGGUCGUUCAAGUCGCGUGUGAAAGCCCCCGGCUCAACUGGGGAGGGUCACGCGAUACUGAUCGACUCGAAGGCAGGAGAGGGUAGUGGAAUUCCCGGUGUAGUGGUGAAAUGCGUAGAUAUCGAGAGGAACACCUGCGGCGAAGGCGGGUAGCUGGGCCGACACUGACGCUGAUGCGCGAAAGCCAGGGGAGCGAACGGG
rnacentral:rRNA from 1 species